UUGUGAAUUUCAGGUUUAUGAUCAGCACUGCCUCCAGCCACAGACAGUCUGUAUCUGUACUCUAGUCACUUGGUGACAAGGACUGUGGUGAAAGUCAACCUGACCACUGACUGUUGGGUUUCCCUUUUGUUCACGCUGGCCCUAAACUCAAUACUAUGUAGUCCAGGCUAGCCUUGAACUCGAAGUGAUUCUCGUGCCUCUGCCUCCUGAAUGCUGGGAUUACAGGCAGUGUCAACCUAUUGUGUCACCUCACAGCGAGACAGCCCCAAUUCCAGUUCUUAUUCAGAUAAGGAAUUAUCAGCGCAUUGAGCAGAAUCUGACGUCUACUGCCAGCUCUAGUACAAAUUCACAUGGUUCUCCAAGGUCUGCAGUGGUAUGAAGGUCUAACACCAGCCCCCUGGGCUUCCUCAGGCUGGGAUCCUGCUCCCCAGCACCAGCAGACACAGUACAGACAGUUGGAUGAAGACUCUCUACUGGGUCUUCCAGGCCUUACUCACCUUCUCUUUUGGGCAAGGAGAAUUUAAAGCAGCUAUUUUCAACCUUAUUUUCACUAUAACAAAUCUGACGUGAUGCACUCGUUUUAGGAACAUCAGUUUACCAUAGUAGUGAUUCUGACCUGAUUGGAGGGCAUGACCCUUUCUUCUUACUUUAUCCUACUCCUAACUCUGCUUUGAGAACCUCUGUAUAAAUCUGUUGGGAUUGCUGUUGAAAAUACAGUAAAUAAAUGGAUCUUUUAUAUCAAAAGCACUCUCACUGGAUUUGGGUUCUAACUGCAGAAUCAGAGAUCCUAGGUUAAAAUGCAUAGAGU